rnacentral:ncRNA from 2 species
UCUACUAUCCAGCGAAACCACAGC